rnacentral:rRNA from 1 species
CACUCGGCUCGUGUGUCGAUGAAGAGCGCAGCCA